rfam:Schistosoma haematobium scaffold312_4, whole genome shotgun sequence.
ACACUGCUGAGGAGUUCCACAAUGGAACGAAAUGGCCAUCCAGUGU